GACAGAGGAUGCAAGCGUUAUCCGGAAUGAUUGGGCGUAAAGCGUCUGUAGGUGGCUUUUUAAGUCCGCCGUCAAAUCCCAGGGCUCAACCCUGGACAGGCGGUGGAAACUACCAAGCUGGAGUACGGUAGGGGCAGAGGGAAUUCCCGGUGGAGCGGUGAAAUGCGUAGAGAUACGGGAGGAACACCAAAGGCGGAAGACACUCCGCUGG
rnacentral:rRNA from 1 species